AUCUUCAGCAGCACAUAUACUAAAAUUGGAACAAUACAGAGAAGAUUUGCAUGGCCCCUGCGCAAGGAUGACAACAUAUAUAAGAAUGAUUAUAUUCAUUUUA